UUGAGUUUGAUCCUGGCUCAGAACGAACGCUGGCGGCAGGCCUAGCACAUGCAAGUCGAACGCCCCGCAAGGGGAGUGGCGCACGGGUGAGUAACGCGUGGGAAUAUGCCCUUCGGUUCGGAAUAACACAGGGAAACUUGUGCUAAUACCGGAUACGAUCUACGGAUGAAAGAUUUAUCGCCGAGGGAGUAGCCCGCGUAGGAUUAGCUAGUUGGUGAGGUAAUGGCUCACCAAGGCGACGAUCCUUAGCUGGUCUGAGAGGAUGAUCAGCCACACUGGGACUGUGACACGGCCCAGACUCCUACGGGAGGCAGCAGUGGGGAAUAUUGGACAAUGGGCGAAAGCCUGAUCCAGCCAUGCCGCGUGAGUGAUGAAGGCCUUAGGGUUGUAAAGCUCUUUCGCCAGGGAAGAUAAUGACGGUACCUGGAAAAGAAGCCUCGGCUAACUCCGUGCCAGCAGCCGCGGUAAGACGGAGGAGGCUAGCGUUGUUCGGAAUUACUGGGCGUAAAGCGUGCGCAGGUUGUGAGAUCAGUUGGAUGUGAAAGCCCGGGGCUUAACCUCGGAUGUGCAUCCAAUACUGUCUCGCUGGAGGUUGGAAGAGGAGAGUGGGAUUCCCAGUGUAGAGGUGAAAUUCGUAGAUAUUGGGAAGAACACCAGUGGCGAAGGCGGCUCUCUGGUCCAUACCUGACA
rnacentral:rRNA from 1 species